GCAUAUGUGUCCUUCCUCUCUGCUCCCAGCCUUUAAGAGGCCAGUGUUGAUCAGUGGCUGUCCAGGCCUUUCAGAGCCACUGACACGCCGGCAGCACAAUGAUGAUGUCACUGACUCUACUGCUGGCCACCCUGGGGCUCCUUGUUCAGGGUUCAUCAGGACAAAUCACCCUGACUCAGUCUCCUGGAUCUCAGUCUGUUGUUCCAGGACAGACUGUCUCUAUCAGAUGUAAAACCAGUUCAAGUGUUAGUAGCUCCCUCCACUGGUACCUUCAGAAACCUGGAGAAGCUCCUAAACUCCUGAUUUAUUCAGCUACAACUCGUCAGUCUGGAAUUUCAAGUCGUUUCAGUGGAAGUGGAUCUGGUUCUGACUUCACUCUGACCAUCAGUGGAGUUCAGGCUGAAGAUUCAGGAGUUUACUACUGUCAGCAGGGUUACAGCUCGUUCACACAGUGAUACAACGUCGUACAAAAACCUCCCUCAGCUGGAGAGGAACUGAUCUGACUCAACAGCUGCACUGACACUAAAACAACAGAGGUUUCUCUACAAUGAAAAAUCAUGAUUGUGUAAAAACGAUAUUUCGUGAAAAUAACUGUAAAACUAUUUAUAUUACUACAUUAUUUUAUUUACACUGAAACAGUGUGUGAUAGAUCACAUUGUUACAGUUUACUGAUACACAGUUUUAGAUCAAAGCUUGAAUCAUAAACAAAAUGAUUUAAGAGGGAAUUCUAACACAAAAACACUAAAUCAUUUGGUCUGGAGGAAAUAUUUCAUCUCAUUAGAUUUUUACGGCUAACUCUUCUUUCACUGAGCAUUCUGUGUUAUUAUCUUUUUCAAUUUUGUUUGAUUUGUAUAGCCCCAAAUCAUAACUAGAAAUUCACCCAGGACACUUUUCAUAUAGAGCAGUAUAGAGUUAGGAUGUACUCGUAUUAAAAUGAGAGAAAACAAAAAAAAA